rnacentral:rRNA from 1 species
UGAGCAAUCUGCCCUUCACAUCGGAAUAACCAUUGGAAACGAUGGCUAAUACCGAAUAUGACUUCGGAUCGCAUGAUCGGAGGUGGAAAGCUCCGGCGGAGAAGGAUGAGCUCGCGGCCUAUCAGCUAGUUGGUGUGGGUAAUGGCCCACAAGGCGACGACGGGUAGCCGGCCUGAGAGGGUGACCGGCCACACGUGGGACUGAGACACGGCCCAGACCUCUACGGGA